UACGUAGGGUGCGAGCGUUAAUCGGAAUUACUGGGCGUAAAGCGUGCGCAGGCGGUUCGUUAAGUCAGAUGUGAAAGCCCCGGGCUCAACCUGGGAACUGCAUUUGAAACUGGCGGGCUUGAGUAUGGCAGAGGGGGGUGGAAUUCUGCGUGUAGCAGUGAAAUGCGUAGAGAUGCGGAGGAACACCGAUGGCGAAGGCAGCCCCCUGGGCCAACACUGACGCUCAGGCACGAAAGCGUGGGGAGCAAACAGG
rnacentral:rRNA from 1 species